rnacentral:lncRNA from 7 species
GGCAGCACUCAAAACUCCGCAACCGAACGGCGUUCACCGCUCAGCUCCGCCGCGGUGAGCCGGGAGGGCACCCACCGCCCCCCCAGAAGCGGCACACGGGCGCGACGCACCGCGCUCCGGAACGCGGCAGAGGCGGGAGAGCGGAAAGUUCGGAGGCGGCCCCGCACCGACGGCCCAACGGCACCCCCGCAGCGGCUCCACAGUUUCAUAACACAGGAAGCCAAUUCUUGUGGAUGGUGAACAAACCAUUGACAAUCCCAUGGAGGGAAUUUUCCUGCAUCGGGUACAUGUGCACUGUCUGCAGAUCAGACUUCUUACUCACUUUACCUUCCAUCACUGCAGUCACAUUCAUGGAUUGCCCCUGGCCUGACAGACUUUAACUAUCUGCAAAGGAGUGCUCUAAAUUUAAUUUGCAUGCAGGAAUUGGUAAGACCUAAAUUUUACAACAAGGCUCCCUGGACUGACACAGCAAUGCUGAAUGCUACUCUGGUAUGAUGGGGUAAUUAAUCAGUUGCUGGAAACCUUCAACAUGCACUGAACAUCACCCUAGAAAUGAAACAAAGGGGAAAGUUUUGAGAGGCAGAGAUGAAGGUGCGGAAAGAGGACAGGGCAAGAGGAAGAACGUUGCACGAGGAAGAACCUGGCAGAGGCCAAUCAGUCAAAAAAAAAAGGAAAAACUGUGGCAAGGAAGUAUAUCUAAGGAAGCAAAGAAGGAAAAGAUGCAACUGCUCACCUGGCUGCCACAUCAUUUUCUUUGUCCCACGUGUACCAAUACCAAGAAAACAGGAACAAAAAAUUGAGGCUGAAGGACUGGACAAUCUGUGUCAGUCAUUUAAAUGAAAAAAUAAAGUUCAUUUCCAGU